CCAGAUUUUCUCAGAGGGCUGCCAUGAAGAAGACACUAAAUGAGAGAACAUGCAAAAGCCCCUAGCCCACUACUUGACACAUAAAAGUAGCCCACUACUUGACAAAUAAAUCUCCCUUUCCUCUUCUUCCAUCCCUGAAAGUGCUUCAGUCCAUCAAAACUAGAAGUUAAACCCAUGUGGGAAGAGUCUCUUGAGCCUUGCUUACCAGGCCUGAAACCUAGAAGUUCAUUUGAGAAUCAAAUCACAGAAGAUGUUUCCCUUUCUACUCAUCUUUUUUCUUUGAAAUUUCUUGAUGAAGUCUAAAGCAUAAUUUCUGAACUCCUUUUAAAUAUUAUUUCAUCUGAAUUGUUACAGAACAAUUGUCUUUUUUUAGAAGAUACUUUUCUGGAUUUUGAAAACUCAAAACUAAAGAAGGAGACAGAAUUUUCAAUAAUAAGCCCUGAAUAAAAUCAAAACCUUCUAACCUAAAGCAAGAUCUCAUACAACUAACAAAGUGCAUACUUU